ACUUGGAACAACCUUAAAUGGCUGGUAUUUCCUUGCAACGGAAGUGGAUGAUAUGUGCUUCAACUAUGCAAAGAAAAACGUGGAACAGAAUAAUUUAUCUGAUCUUAUAAAAGUGGUAAAAGUACCACAGAAGACACUCCUGAUGGAUGCUCUUAAAGAAGAAUCUGAGAUAAUCUAUGAUUUUUGCAUGUGCAACCCACCCUUUUUUGCAAAUCAGUUGGAAGCCAAGGGAGUAAACUCUCGAAAUCCUCGGAGACCUCCACCUAGUUCUGUAAAUACAGGAGGUAUCACAGAAAUCAUGGCAGAAGGAGGUGAAUUAGAGUUUGUUAAAAGGAUCAUCCAUGACAGUUUACAGCUUAAAAAAAAGAUUAAGGUGGUACAGCUGUAUGCUGGGGAAAAAAUGCAGCUUGGCUCCUCUAAAGGAAGAACUUCGCAUACAAGGGGUUCCUAAAGUCACCUACACUGAAUUCUGUCAAGGCCGGACAAUGAGAUGGGCUUUAGCUUGGAGUUUUUAUGAUGAUGUUACAGUGCCCCAGAGAGGCAGUGCACAGCUAGCCAUUGGCUUGGUCCCAACAUUAGCCAAGAUGCAGCAGGCCUCCUUCUCUGCCCAUGUGAUCCUAGUUGACCCUGGUCAUUCCUCACAUGUGAUCUUCAAGCCUCAACAAGUAUAAAGUUGGACUACAAUCACCACCCAGUAAGCGAAGAAAAUUAGAGAAGUCAAGGAAACCCAUCACGUUCGUGGUGUUAGAGUCUGUGAUGAAAGAAUUAUCCCUCAAAGCAUCAUCUUUGGGCUCUGAGACAGUGGAAGGCAUAGUAGUUGUGACAACGUGGAUUGAAAAAAUCCUCACCGAUCUGAAGGUUCAGCAUAAACGAGUCCCCUGUGGAAAGGAAGAGGUUAGCCUUUUCCUAACAGCAAUAGAAAACUCCUGGAUUCAUUUAAGGAGAAAGAAACGGGAGCGAGUGAGACAGUUGAGAGAAGUUCCGCGAGCUCCUGAGGACGUCAUCCAAGCUUUGGAAGAGAAGAAGUCCACCCCGAGAGAGUCUGGCAGUAGCCAGGAUUUGGCCCAGGGCCCCCGGGAGGGCGCCCUGUGUGGGCCUGCUGCACAGGAAGGCGAAUCUUCCACUCUUGAGGGCCAUUCCUCAAACCAGGAUCUGCUUUCCCAGGAUGAAAACCCAGAACCUGUGGAGGAUGAAAGGAGUGAGGAAAAGGGAGGGAUGGAGGCUUCAGAAAAUUGUAAAGGCUCUAGCAAUGGGGCCCAGGACCGAGAGGCAUCUGAGCAGUUCAGCAGCCCGGUGUCUGAAAAAGGAAGCCAUCUCCAAGGAGUGGCUGGACAUUACCUAUUCAAGUGUUUGAUAAAUGUAAAGAAGGAGGUAGAUGAUGCUUUAGUUGAAAUGCAUUGGGUUGAGGGCCAGAAUAGGGAUUUGAUGAACCAGCUUUGUACCUAUAUACGUAACCAAAUUUUCAGGCUUGUUGCUAGUUAAAUUCUUGCACAGCUGGGAAGUUUCUAUAAAGUAGCUUGCCUUGGUGUGCCAAGAGGUAUUCCACCAUAGGCCCAUUGGUCAUUACGUGCAGUUUUCUUAAAAAAAAAAAAAAAAAAAAAAAGGAAAGAAAGAAAAGAAACAAA